UUUAUUUCCAUAUUAAAUUAUGCGAGCCCAAACCUUCGACUGACUUGUGACUUUAAUUACUUUAAAUACUCAAAAAGUGUACAUUAUGAAGAAUACAUAUGCAUGUUCUGUUUCUAAAAAUGAAACAUCAGUGAUGCAAUGUAUAGCCAUUAUUCUUUGUUCUUGUCCUCUGUCCUACAUGUAACUGUCUCGUCAUUGUUGGUUAUGGGAUUAUGUUACAACGCAAGCACAUUUUUUAGAUUAAGAUAUAUACAGAAAUAUAAGUUGUGAAAUCAAUGAUAGCUAGAACUGUUUGCUUUAAAAUACAUAUAAUAUACAAGUUAAUUAUUACCUCCAAAUCCAACUUGAUUUCAUUUAUAUUUUCAAACAUUUCAAUGUAUUUUUGAUAACAUCAAAUGAAACACUGCUUGCUUAGCUGACUAAAACAAUUAGUUCGAAACGUAAACUUGCAUAUAACUUUUAAAACAAAACAAAAAUAUUUUCAUGUGAACAUGGUAAAUAUGCAGCGUAUGUGAAUGUUACUACAUUUAUAUAUUGGUAUAAAAUGUUUGCAUUAAUUAUGUUGUGCAUUCUUUCAGGUCCAUAUUUUUGUAAAUGGAUUUCUAUUGUUAUUGUUAUGUAGUAUGAUACGAAAUACGAGGACAUAUUGCAAUGUGAUGUCUGUCCUUCAUAAGAUUGUUAAACCACAAAUAAAACCUUCAAAUAUCC
rnacentral:sRNA from 1 species